UUCAGAGUACUGAUAGAACUCUCCUGUUAGAAACAUGGCGAGGACAAACCCCAACGAUUUCAGAAGCACUAUAAAGGGAAGUGUUGAGCAUAAAGAAGUAAUCUACUGCAGUGGUUAUGCUUUUUUGUUGUGGGUGAUAUGGUUUUCUUCUUAGGAACCCGCUGUAGUGUAAUGCCAUGAGAAUGCGUGUAAAAAUAUACUCUUUAUAUUGCAUCAUUGGCUUAGUGCUGACUUUUUGUUUUUUUUCAUCGGAUUUAGCAAAAGCUCGAUGAUGAUGAUUGCUAUGCAUCCACCAAAAUAACGAAAAAUUUCAUUGAUUCAGUAGCUGAUGUUGUGGCAAGAAUAAUUACUUUUCACAUUUCUUUCAUAUAGUUAAGUUUGUAAUGCAUGACCAAGUGCUGCUCCAUUUACCGUCUGCCAUCCUUAUGAUGUUGUAGAAUUACCAUGAAGGAAGGGGGCGGCCAAGGUGUCUCUCAGUGAGCAUUGGCUCGCCGAUCCUCUUGUCCUCUUACCCAAAGCGGCCAACUGAUUUGACUCUUGUGGACCGCUUCAAAGUUUCCUCUGGAAAAGCAGUUCUGCAGAACUUCUGGCCCAGGAAUCAGGAAGUGCGAUGCAGACCGAAUUAGAAACGAGAUCUUGCAGUUGUAAUAUAGGGGGUUGUGUCAGAGGCCUUGGGAGAAGUGUUGUCUGCAUAGGCUUGGCCUGGUUACAGUGGUCAGAACACUAGGACAACCCGAGAAAUAUAAAAUACACCAUUUAAAUGACCAGUAUCUGAUUUGAGUAUGUG
rnacentral:lncRNA from 1 species